GAUGAACGCUGGCGGCGUGCCUAAUACAUGCAAGUCGAGCGAACGGACGAGAGGCUUGCUUCUCUGAUGUUAGCGGCGGACGGGUGAGUAAAACGUGGAUAACCUACCUAUAAGACUGGGAUAACUUCGGGAAACCGGAGCUAAUACCGGAUAAUAUUUUGAACCGCAUGGUUCAAAAGGGAAAGACGGUCUUGCUGUCACUUAUAGAUGGAUCCGCGCUGCAUUAGCUAGUUGGUAAGGUAACGGCUUACCAAGGCAACGAUGCAUAGCCGACCUGAGAGGGUGAUCGGCCACACUGGAACUGAGACACGGUCCAGACUCCUACGGGAGGCAGCAGUAGGGAAUCUUCCGCAAUGGGCGAAAGCCUGACGGAGCAACGCCGCGUGAGUGAUGAAGGUCUUCGGAUCGUAAAACUCUGUUAUUAGGGAAGAACAUAUGUGUAAGUAACUGUGCACAUCUUGACGGUACCUAAUCAGAAAGCCACGGCUAACUACGUG
rnacentral:rRNA from 1 species